CUGCUGGUUUGGAUCAAUACGUCUCCUUCUGUGUUCCCUGUGUGUUACAUGCUCCCAGUGAUUCCCUGUGUUUUCUUUUGGACAUUUUAACUCGGCCAGACGGGAAGAAAAAAACCUCCAGUGUGCGUAAACACUGAUCUAAGAGCUGCUGCAUCUUUAAUCUCCCCUGUUAGAGGAUGUUUUACUGGAAGCAGGAUGACAUCAGCCUGGAGUUUCCACCUGGACUCUGUGGGAUUGAGAUGGGCCGAACAGGGUACCUUCAAAGAGCUCAGGAGGCUUUGAUGAGUCCACUUCCCCUUCCUCGUGGAUCAACAGGGCUGUGGCCUUUACUCGCUCGGAGGAAGACAAAGUCCAUCCUUGAACUGGUAAUCAGCUGCUGCUGCAGGAGAGCGUGAGCCAAGACUCAGAGUGAAGAAAUAACAUCACCACAUAGGACAUGUGGUUUCACUCGGUGUGACACACAGUGCUUUGAUUUCAAGACAGUGGGAUUAUCUUUCAUUAAAAAUAGAUGCCUUCAUAAUUUCUUUUUUAUCCCUAUGAGCCAUCUGGAUGUUUCAGGUCUUAAGAUGUAAUUGUGGGAGAUGACAGUUAGCAGGAGGCUAAUCAUUUUCAGACCAGAUCAUUCUCAUGGUCAGUGGUGUAUGAGGAGCUUCAACAUAAUAUGUUCUUUCUUUGAUAAAAGUAUAAUAGAAAACAA